rnacentral:rRNA from 1 species
UGAAAUCCCCGGGCUCAACCUGGGAACUGCAUUCGAUACUGGCAAGCUAGAGUGUGGUAGAGGGUAGUGGAAUUCCCGGUGUAGCAGUGAAAUGCGUAGAGAUCGGGAGGAACAUCUGUGGCGAAGGCGACUACCUGGACCAGCACUGACACUGAGGCACGAAAGCGUGGGGAGCAAACAG